GCUCGCCUUUUAACAUAUCAUCUUAUGAUGUUUCUUCCUCUCUUCUAAACUCUCUCUGCGCCGAAGUCUAAAAAAAACUCUCUGCGCCUCCCUUUUGAAACUGCUCUUUCUCCAAAUCGCAUGGAUCUUCCUUUUCCUCUACAAACCCAGUCACGAUCGUCCUAUUACUUUGCAGAUCUAGUUCGCAAGGAGCUGCAAACCGCAACAAUUUGAAGAGAUGAAAAAGUAAGUAUUUACAAACAAUAUCUUUGUUGGAAGCUUGAUUUAGCUGGGCGAUCUUUUGGAAUUAAAACAACAUUCCCCAGGGGUAUACCUGGUGAAGUAAAGAUGGAAGAAGCAAUAGUUAAAGGGAUUUGAUGGAAAACAGCAAAGCAGCCCCAAAGAGGAAAUUAGAUAGGAUGCAUAUCAUGUGAACAAUUAAGUAUAGUUUUAAGCAUAUAAAGCAGCAAAAAAAAGAAAAAGAAAAUAAAAAUGAAAUAGCCUAUCAAACUAGCAGAGACAAACGGCCUAACUUAAUGUUUAGAUUAGUCAAUAAACAGAGUGACCAUUUUGAUAGGCCACUUACCCAUUUCACAGCCUCAUCUUUAAUUUUGAUGUUUCUCUCACUGACUUAUUUGAAGAUUUCCUUCAUCUUUAAAUUUGAUGUAUUAGCCUAUUAUUUGGGUA